CAUUUUUCUAUUUAUUUUAUAAAAAAAGGUAAAAGUAUGAAGAAACUUAUAUGUUGUGCUUAUGCCAUAAUCCUCUUGCUUUCCUUAAUACUUGUUGUCGGUGCUAAUUUUUGUGAGGAACACCAUGAUUGCAUUUACAAGGAGUGUUCACAUCGUUUUGCCGAGUGCGUUUAUAAGAAGUGCCAAUGCAUGUAACCUAUAUCAGCCUGGAAGCAGAUAUCAUGCUAAAAUUGACACCUUUGUUAUCUUUUAUAAGAUACCGACACAACAAUGUUACUGC